rnacentral:sRNA from 1 species
CUUCCUCGAUCUGCUGCGGGCAGAUGAAGUGGAUAUGGCUGUCGUGGCCGCCAGCGGUGACGAUCAUGCCCUCGCCUGCCAGCACCUCGGUGCCGGGACCGAUCACGAUGUCGACGCCGGGCUGGAUGUCGGGGUUGCCGGCCUUGCCGAUGGCGCAGAUGCGGCCGUCGAGCACGCCGAUGUCGGCCUUCACGAUGCCCCAGUGGUCGACGAUCAGCGCGUUGGUGAUGACCAGGUCGACCGCGCCCUGGGCCCGACUGCGCUGGCCCUGGCCCAUGCCGUCGCGGAUG